AAACCAUACAUUGGGCAUUUACACAAUAAAUAUUUGAAUCUCUCUCAUGCUUGAUAUAGAUUUUUAUCAUUUAUUUUCUUAAAAAGAGUGAUAUCAUUCCUCAAUCU